ACCAUGCUGCCCCAGUCUACCCAGACAACCACUCUGGAGGAUGUUAUGGCCAGGAUGGAAAUCAUGGACAGCAAAAUUAACACCCAAGGUCAGCAGUUUGAGGAGCACAGGAAGUCCACACAGGACACCAUCUGAAAGAUGGAGACCUUGUGGAUUCCUGGUCUGCACCACCGAUUGCGUGCUGUGGAGGCAGGACAACAGGGUUCCGCCAAGUUGUCAGGCCAGGCUCCGGACCAGCGCUAGCGUGUGAUUUGCACAACACUACUCAAGGGGAAGACAAAUGCGUUCAUGCAUCGUUUCGUUUCAUUUGUGAAGAAAGUGG